CUCGUAAUGCCAUCAUACAAAAUACGUUAAGCUGUUUUCUGACCAAGCGAAGCUGCGUGGCCGGGUGGUUUGUGCCCUGUGCACGCUGCCUUGUGACAACGGCUCAUCCGCAGCGCCGCCGGCAGCGAGGCCGGCACGGGUGGGAGGCACGCGUGGCCACAGCAGCGCCUGCGAUUGGUGUGGCGACUCGUGUCCCCUCGGCCACGGGAAAUGAAGGCUCUCAGCAAACCGUAGACGUGAAGAACAGAUGCUCCCGUUGCACCGAGGGUUUCUGUGCAGCUGAUGCACUUAGCCUAGUUUAUUUCACGGAAACUUUUAAGCUGGAUCUCGUCCAACGCCCAGGGAAGCAGAUGGCUUCUGUUGGUUUGAGUUGGUUUUCACGUCGAGUCCAUUCAGGUCUCCGAUUGCAAGUGGUUCCAGAGGGUUCUGAUUUCUUUUUUUCUCCUGACGUUCUGAUAAGAUUCGGUGUUAGGGCGACAGCUUAGCACUGACCGGUAGUUUUACAAAACCGAAUUUUGCUUUGGAAGGAUUUGUGCUGCGGAAGGGCAGAGCAGUCAGCUCAGUGACACGAAAACUCACCUCUGCGCACGGAGAGCUGCGGUGACGCCGUGGUGCUGGCUGGAUGCUUCCGGGGAGGUGGGCCAGCAGGAACCUUGCAGAUUUGUACCCGUGCAAAGGAUUGCUGAGCUGCCAGACGUGGAUGAAAUGACUGAGUGGGGAAAAAACCUCUGCACAGAGGGCUGAGCUAUGAGAUCCUUGGAGCAUCCCAAACGCAUGCUAGGGUCCAGCACCGCAGCCGCGCUCCCUGCUGGUCCGGCUGACCCUGACCCUGGCGGGUGCCGUGGGAGGCACAGCUUUCCUCCCGUUGGGAAACACCAGCGCGUCGGGAAGGGUUUGGAGAGCUGCGAGGUGCUCAGCCACUGCUGUUCGCGGUCUCGCUCUGGUCUCUGCAAAACGGGAAGUGUUUGCCCUAUGUAAAUUCACUCCUGUAAUUUGUAAGAGGAGAUCGCUUCCUGUCCUAAGCUGUUAUGUGGUAUGGCUGCAAGCUGUCAGAUGCUGUAGCAAUGGAUCCCGGAGGCGGCUGCUUUCUA
ensembl:lncRNA